rnacentral:rRNA from 1 species
UAGAAUUCCACGUGUAGCGGUGAAAUGCGUAGAGAUGUGGAGGAAUACCGGUGGCGAAGGCGGCCUUCUGGACAGAUACUGACGCUGAGAUGCGAAAGCGUGGGGAGCAAACAGGAUUAGAUACCCUGGUAGUCCACGCUGUAAACGAUGUCGAUUUGGAGUUUGUUGCCUAGAGUGAUGGGCUCCGAAGCUAACGCGAUAAAUCGACCGCCUGGGGAGUACGGCCGCAAGGUUAAAACUCAAAUGAAUUGACGGGGGCCCGCACAAGCGGUGGAGCAUGUGGUUUAAUUCGAUGCAACGCGAAGAACCUUGCCUGGUCUUGACAUCCACAGAAUCUUGCAGAGAUGCGAGAGUGCCUUCGGGAACUGUGAGACAGGUGCUGCAUGGCUGUCGUCAGCUCGUGUUGUGAAAUGUUGGGUUAAGUCCCGCAACGAGCGCAACCCUUAUCCUUUGUUGCCAGCGAUUCGGUCGGGAACUCAAAGGAGACUGCCGUUGAUAAAGCGGAGGAAGGUGGGGACGACGUCAAGUCAUCAUGGCCCUUACGACCAGGGCUACACACGUGCUACAAUGGCGUAUACAAAGGGAGGCGACCUCGCGAGAGCAAGCGGACCUCAUAAAGUACGUCUAAGUCCGGAUUGGAGUCUGCAACUCGACUCCAUGAAGUCGGAAUCGCUAGUAAUCGUGAAUCAGAAUGU